rfam:Sulfurihydrogenibium sp. YO3AOP1, complete genome.
GGCCAAGCUGCUAAGGGUCCAUGGUGGAUGCCUGAGGCAGUCAGAAGGGAUGAAGGGCGUGGCAAGCUGCGAUAAGCCUCGGGGAGCCGCAAGCAGGCAUUGAUCCGAGGAUUCCCGAAUGGGGAAACCCGGCUGGUUAAUAGCCAGUCAUCCGCAUCAGCGGAGCUAAAACUCGGCGAAGUAAAACCUUUUAGUAGCCGAAAGGAAAAGAAACCGCAAUGGGAUUCCCUAAGUAGCGGCGAGCGAACGGGGAAGAGCCUAAACCAGUGUGGUGCCAUGGUGGUAGCCUUAGCCACACUGGGGUCGUGGGAUAGCCAGCGCAGACAGCUACCACUGUCUGGGGAAGUUACAAAACUGUCAGUUAGCAGAAGUAGCUGGAACGCUACGCCAUAGAGGGUGAAAGCCCCGUAUGCAAAAACUGACAGUCUUCCUAGCUGCUACUUCCCGAGUACCACUGCCCCCGUGAAAGGUAGUGGGAAUCAGCCCAGACCACUGGGUAAGGCUAAAUAUUCCUGACUGACCGAUAGCGCAUAGUACCGCGAGGGAAAGGUGAAAAGAACCCCUGCAAGGGGAGUGAAAGAGAACCUGAAACCAUGGAUCUACAAGCCAGUGGAAGGACUAUUAAAAAGUCCGACUGCGUGCCUCUUGGAAAAUGAGCCAGGGAGUUGUGGUAUGCGGCAAGCUUAAGCCGAUAGGCGAAGGCGUAGGGAAACCAAGUCCGAAUAGGGCGCUAUUAGUCGCAUGCUGCAGACGCGAAGCGGAACGAUCUAUCCAUGCCCAAGGUGAAGGACGGGUAACACCGUCUGGAGGCCUGAACCAAUCGGUGCUGCAACACAGUUGGAUGAGGUGUGGAUAGGGGUGAAAAGCCAAUCGCGUUCCGUGAUAGCUCGUUCUCCCCGAAAUGCAUCGACGUGCAGCGUCAAGCGUUUCCCCCGGGAGGUAGAGAUACUGAUUGGGCUAGGGCCCCGAAAGGGGUACCGAACCCAACCAAACUCCGAAUGCCCGGGAGGAUAGCUUGGCAGUGAGACUGCGGGGGAUCAGCUCCGUAGUCGAGAGGGAAACAACCCAGAUCGCCAGCUAAGGUCCCAAAGUGCAUGCUAAGUGGAGAAGGAUGUAAAGCCUCAAAGACAGCGAGGAGGUUGGCUUAGAGGCAGCCAUCCUUUAAAGAGUGCGUAACAGCUCACUCGUCGAGAGGCUUUGCGCCGAAAAUUUAACGGGGCUAAGCAUGCCACCGAAGCUGCGGGCUUGCCUUAUGGCAAGCGGUAGGGGAGCGUUCCCUGUGGGUUGAAGUCUCACCGUAAGGAGGGAUGGACUGCAGGGAAGUGAGAAUCCUGGUAUGAGUAGCAGCGAAGACAGGUGAGAAACCUGUCCGCCGGAACUCCAAGGGUUCCAAUCCAAUGUAAAUCAGGAUUGGGUUAGUCGGUACCCUAAGGUGAGGGCGAAAGCAGUAGCCGAUGGGAAGCAGGUUAAUAUUCCUGCACCAGCUGUCUGGAGACCAAGGCACGACGCAGGAGGAUAGCACCAGGGGAGAUUUGGAUUGCUCCCUUUAAGCGUCCGAGGGUGAGGAAUAGGCAAAUCCGUUCCUCAUACAAGCCUGAGGCGUGAUGAGGAGGCUAAGCCUCGUGCUUAGCCAACUGGUGUGACUUCAAACUGCCAAGAAAUAGUGUCGUGGUCGCUAGAAGGAUGGCUGACCGUACCGGAAACCGACACAGGUGGAGUGGGUUAGCAGCCUAAGGCGAUCGGGGUAACUCUCCUCAAGGAACUCGGCAAAUUGACCCCGUACCUUCGGAAUAAGGGGUGCCCACUGCAAGGUGGGUCGCAGAAACCAGGUCCAGGCGACUGUUUACCAAAAACACAGCACUGCGCAAACUCGAAAGAGGACGUAUGCGGUGUGAAACCUGCCCAGUGCCCGUAGGUUAAGGGGAGGGGUUAACGCCCCAAACCGAAGCCCGGGUAAACGGCGGCCGUAACUAUAACGGUCCUAAGGUAGCGAAAUUCCUUGUCGGGUAAGUUCCGACCUGCAUGAAUGGUCCAACGAUCUGGACGCUGUCUCGAGGAGAGUCCCGGUGAAAUUGUAGUGCCGGUCAAGAUUCCGGCUACCUGCGGCAGGACGGAAAGACCCUGUGAAGCUUUACUGUACCCUGACACUGUUUGCCUGCGCAUCCUGCGCAGGAUAGGUGGGAGCCUAAGAAGUGCCCCUUUCGGGGGGCAUGGAGGCACCGGUGAGAUACCACCCUGGAUGUGUGGGUAAACUAACCUAGCCGUGUUAUCCACGGCAGGGACAAUGUCAGGCGGGCAGUUUGACUGGGGCGGUCGCCUCCUAAAGGGUAACGGAGGCGCCCAAAGGUACCCUCAGGUGGGUCGGAAAUCCACCGUUAGAGUGCAAAGGCAUAAGGGUGCCUGACUGCGAGACUGACAAGUCGAGCAGACGCGAAAGCGGGGCUUAGUGACCCGCAUGUUCCGAGUGGAAGGGCAUGCGAUCAGCGGAUAAAAGCUACUCCGGGGAUAACAGGCUAAUCCCGCCCAAGAGCCCAUAUCGACGGCGGGGUUUGGCACCUCGAUGUCGGCUCGUCGCAUCCUGGGGCUGAAGUAGGUCCCAAGGGUUGGGCUGUUCGCCCAUUAAAGCGGCACGCGAGCUGGGUUCAGAACGUCGUGAGACAGUUCGGUCCCUAUCCGCCGCAGGCGCAGGAUACUUGAGAGGAGCCAUCCUUAGUACGAGAGGACCGGGAUGGGGCAGGCUCUGGUGUACCAGUUGUUCCCCAAGAGCAGAGCUGGGUAGCCAUCCUGCUACGGGAUAAGCGCUGAAAGCAUCUAAGCGUGAAGCCCACCUCAAGAUAAGGUAUCCCUGAAGGGCCGUGGGAGACUACCACGUUGAUAGGCUGCAGGUGGAAGCUCGGUAACGGGUGGAGCCAAGCAGUACUAAUCGCCCGUUUGGCUUGGCCUU